rnacentral:rRNA from 1 species
UUCUAAUAGGGCAUUAACUAUUAGUAAACCCUGCCCAAUGAAUAACUUUUUAUGGCCGCAUUAAUUUGUGCUAAGGUAGCAUAAUAAUUAGCCUAUUAAUUUUAGGAUAGAAUGAACGGGUAAACAUGGUGAAAUUUUUAUUAAUUUGAUUACUUUAAACUUACCUAAAAGUAAAAAUCCUUUUAUGUAAAGGAGGGACGACAAGACCCUGAUGAACUUUUCCUUUAGAUUUACUGGGGCGGUAAUUCAACAAAUUCUUAUUUAUUUAUCACCUAUAAAAAUAACCUUAACUUUAUAAUUUAAACAAGUUACCACAGGGAUAACAGCAUAAUUUUCUUCUAGAGAUCUUAUCCAAAAGAGAAAUUGUGACCUCGAUGUUGAAUAAAUUUACUUAUAUAGAGCAAUAUCUUAAAAAGUGAGUCUGUUCGACUCUUAAAAAUUUACA